rnacentral:lncRNA from 1 species
AGGACCCCAAAGCGCUUUACACAUUCAGUCAUCCACCCAUUCACACACACAUUCACGCACUAGUGAUGGCAAGCUACAUAUACAAAUAUCAGAUAUAUGUGACAGGCAAAAACUAGCAAAAACUUUUAGCAGUUAAAACAACUAAUAAUUGAAUGCAGAUCUGCAUUCAAUUAUUAGUUGAUGGUUAGUGAUGGUGUAACAUUCGAAUGUUACACCAUCACUUAUGGAUAUAUUAGUGUUUCGCCACACACUGCUUAAGCCAUUAAUCUUUCUGGAAUUGUUCUUUGAAACAGAUGCGACCGCACAAAAGUUUUUAACAAUGCUGUCAAACCUGACGAGAUCUGUCAACGAACUGCGUGAGGAGGUCAGAGCCAUCCGCAAUACCGGCUCAAAUGAAUCUGUAGAUGCUGGGGUACUCCCUUUGGAUUUGCCCUUAAACAGCAUUGAGGAGCUAAACCAUGCAGAGGCAGCUCUUACGUCGCAAGAGGCAAUUAAGGCAAUGGUGAGACGCUUUGCCUUGAUUGGAGGGACCACACUUGAGGUGCGAGUCCGCCGUGUAAUGGCUUAUGCCAUUACAAAUGAGCUGGCCUCACUACUAAACUGGGCAGGGAAAAAAACAAAGGACCACACGAAGCAAAAAAGGGCAUUUAAAGAUACUGCGCUGUGCAGAUGCAUAUUUGAUGGCCUGACGCAGCAGUUAGGGGCAAACUCGAUGUCAGAGUUUCUCUUUGCACAGGCAGUGCAGAAGUGGCUACGGUACGCCCCAGACCGUUUGGGUGGUGCAGGACGCACAUCAUCCGUCCCCAUCCCGGAGGAGCAGUAA